AACAUUCGGAAAAGUACUAAAAGCGCAAUUAGUUCUGACUAGGAACUUACGGAGGGUACCUCCGAGAGCGCGGCUUCUGUUUCCAUUGCUUUCAUCUGCUCUGCAACUUGAGACCAAAGUGGAGAGUAGAAACCAAAGUACUCGAUGGCUGAAAGG